AGAGCUAUUGUGAAGGAAAUUCCUGUUUUUUUUUUUUUUUCUCUUUUCUAUUUUUCUCUACGUUUUUUUGCUACUGGAGAAUUGGGUGACCAUCAAGGAUGACCAUCUUGCCUCACCUCCCACCCCAAACGCCAACUGGGUCGCCGAUGACUAGCUUCCAGGGGGUCCGAUCACCAGUGGAGCCAUGCGUGAGCCGCACAAUCCGACAGAAGGAUUAACACAGUUUCAUGCACUGGCGCGUUAAAGCACGUGCGCCAUCCGAUCACCGUCUAUUUCUUUUCCGAGCACUUCUGAUAGCCUCUUCUUGGAUUAGGAUAAGUUACUCGGUGUGUAGCUCCUUGAUUCUUGUGCCUUUUGUGGUUCAGAGGUUUAAAACGAUACUAUUUUCACUAUUUUUUGACAACCCCAACGUGUUAUCUUGUUUCUAAGUCAUCUUGUAUUUG
rnacentral:misc_RNA from 1 species